AAGUCGAGCGGGCCCUUCGGGGUCAGCGGCGGACGGGUGAGUAACGCGUGGGAACGUGCCUUCUGGUUCGGAAUAACCCUGGGAAACUAGGGCUAAUACCGGAUACGCCCUUUUGGGGAAAGGUUUACUGCCGGAAGAUCGGCCCGCGUCUGAUUAGCUAGUUGGUGGGGUAACGGCCUACCAAGGCGACGAUCAGUAGCUGGUCUGAGAGGAUGAUCAGCCACACUGGGACUGAGACACG
rnacentral:rRNA from 1 species